rnacentral:rRNA from 1 species
CAAUAGCGCAUAGUACAAUUGUUGCGGUUAAAGAGUUCGUAGUUGGAUUUUUGCCGAGGACGGCCGGUCCGCCUUUUGGGUGAGUAUCUGGUUCGGCGCGGGCAUCGUCUCGGAGAACGUAGCUGCAGUAAGAAAUAUCAAGAUAUGACGUCGGUGCUAAUUUGCUGGCUUCCAGAGCUGAGGUAAUGUUCAUAUGGAUAGUUGGCGGCAUUCGUAUUCAAUUUUCAGAGGUGAAAUUCUUGGAUGUGUUAAAGACGGACCACUGCGAAAUCAUUUGCCAAGGAUGUUUUCAUUGAG